rnacentral:lncRNA from 1 species
CUCUAAAUAAUCCUACAUAUUUCAGAUACCCCGCAAAACCCUAAUCGAUGGUCGCCAAGAGAAACCAAAUGAAUUAGAGUCCCGUAAAGUUUCACAUCCACAAUCAUCAAUCACCUCCAUCUUUGUCCUGAAUGCACGACAUUGUAGGCCUUGUAUCCCGAACCAAAUUAAAAAUUUCAUUCCGCUUCACCAUACCUCCCAAUCCUCUAACAUUAUACUUCCUUCCUACCCAUACAUAG